GGAUUAGAUACCCUGGUAGUCCACGCGGUAAACGAUGCACACUAGAUCUGGCGACUCUGACGGUUGCCGGGUCGUAGCGAAAGCGUUAAGUGUGCCGCCUGGGGACUACGGCCGCAAGGCUAAAACUCAAAGGAAUUGACGGGGGCUCACACAAGCGGUGGAGCAUGUGGCUUAAUUCGAAGCAACGCGAAGAACCUUACCCAGGUUUGACAUGCUUGGAUGCUAUCCGGGGAUAACUCGGUGCGCUGCCCUUCGGGGUGAAACUUGCACAGGUGUUGCAUGGCUGUCGUCAGCUCGUGCCG
rnacentral:rRNA from 1 species